CAAACUUGUGUCCUUCGAGUCCAUGAUGGCAUCCAGCCAUCUGGUCCUGUUACCCCUUUCUCCUCCUGCCUUUGUUAAGUAAGAGGCAAAUGCUAAAACCAUAGUAUAACUGCACGUUACUUGUGUUUUCUUACCCAUUUAGAAUAGGUCAGACAUACCCCGAAAUGAAUCGAAAUGUUGCCAGCUGCGAGCUGGACAAGGCUUUAUAUCUCUUGGUCCAUUAAUGGCCAGAAAGGGGUGCAUGCACCUCCAGGGGCACACGAGGUAGCCUGCGGUGAAGGAACAAGAGAAAUUUAGAACCUUGGUUCAUAGAUUCUAAUCUAAGAAAGGAUUAAGUCAUAUCAAUAUUUGAUAUUCAGAUUGACCCUGUCACUCGUUCAACCUGUAUAUCAGGUUGUCUUGUGCCACUUCAAUUUUUGAGGUAUCCUGUAGGAAAAGUGGGAAGAACAAUGGACAUGGGUGUUCUCAAGGGUGUGUUCAUUUAAAUGUAACCUGCUUAGUUAAAAUUAACUGUUCACUUAUCUAAUAAAGCUGCUUUGUAAGGGCUUAAAAGAUCAUUUUCAUAAUGCAGGCAUGGCAGAUGUAGCAUAAGUUGUCUGUACCUGCAGCUCCAGCUUUGAGGAACCUGCAGUUCCCCAAACCCAGUGACUUCUGCAGCUGUCUUCUGGACACAGAGCCUGCUGGGCAGCAUGUGGGCCAGGUGGGGCAGUCCUUACCCAGUGACGAUCAGCGUUUGGUAGCUUUCAGCUCUCAAAUGCUGGAUCAUUAAUGUCAUUCCAGAAAACUUUGAUGCAGACUACUCUUCUAUAUGAAUUAUCUAAGAAUGAGGAUGAAACAGACAUUUUCAGAUGAACAGAAACUAAGAAUUUACCAUAAAAAUUGCCUCAGUAAAUGAACUUCUAAAAGAUGGACUUCAUGGAGGAAGAAUGUUAUCCCAAAGUCUGAAAUUUUCCUGCAUGACUUUGUCCGGAUUCAACAACACAAAUUAAUGACUUUUGCAUUCAGUGCAAGAAGAUCAAGAAUUUGCCUCUGCACCAAGUUGCAAAAUAACAGUGUAGUUAUUAUUCUCUUGUCUGAUUUUCAUAAGCUUUUUAAAGGAGGCAUUUUAUUUCUGGAGAAACAGUCACAGCUUGAUUUAGUCUUCGUGUCCAAUACAUGGAGGAACUUUUAGUUCCUGAAUACCAGAUAAGCAAGGACUUUUUGUCCUGCUUGUGAAACUUACCUAAAGUAAGCUCAGGAAUGUAUUUUCUCAGAUAAUACUAUCCAGACUUCAUUAUAAUAUCCUUGAAUUUGAAAAUAAGUAAAAACUCAAAACUC